GGGGUCAUUUAAGUUCUUCCUGGAGGAAAGCCUUAUGUCAUCUCCUGUUUUGCUUGUAACCUUGUUCCAUGUAUGAAAGCUUGAUGCUCCAAUCGCACGGCAAAAGCUCCUAGUCAUUCUCUGUGCCAGUUUGAGAAUACUUUUCCUUCCAGCCAGAGUUGCAACACCAGUUGAAUCCUUUGUAGGAACAUUGGUUGCCAUGAAGAAUACAAUCCGUUCACACUGGAGCUGCAAUGUUGCUACCCAAUGCCUUGCACCAAAAGCUAGACCGCUAUUCACAAUUGUUCUGUACAUUGUAUGAACUGUACUUUUCUGGCAUUCCAAGUGCUCUACCCAUGUCACCUUGCAGUGACCAUUUGAUUUGUCCUCAAUUAUGCAGCCAGAGGGGCGUUUUCUGCACUUGACGAGGGAGGCAUCAAUAUUAUCUUCUGCUUUAUCAAUGGAAACAUCAACAACUGCCCAUUUCUCUGCACUUAGUUGCUUGCAAUAUCGGACAAAAUAUAUUUCUCUGGUGGGCACCAUUGGUGUGAGCAUUUGUACCUCUGCAAACAUCAACUGCACUGCUCCAUUUCUCAUAGGACCUUCUCCAUUGGAGAUAACAUCAACUGUGGCUGCCUUUGAUAUCAAGCAUGGAAACAUCUCCUUCCACCGAUUCACAUCAAUGAAACUCCGAACAAGUCUUGGAAGAUCCACGAACACAACUCCAGUUUCUCUGGAGGCCUCAAUGGACCUCUUUGGCC
rnacentral:misc_RNA from 1 species